GAUGAACGCUAGCUACAGGCUUAACACAUGCAAGUCGAGGGGUAACGAGAGGAAAGCUUGCUUUCCUUGUCGACGACCGGCGCACGGGUGAGUAACGCGUAUCCAACCUGCCCCCAACUAGGGAAUAACCUUGCGAAAGUAAGACUAAUACCCUAUAAUUUCCUCAGAUGACAUCUGACGAGGAAUAAAGAUUUAUCGGUUGUGGAUGGGGAUGCGUCUGAUUAGCUUGUUGGCGGGGUAACGGCCCACCAAGGCAACGAUCAGUAGGGGUUCUGAGAGGAAGGUCCCCCACAUUGGAACUGAGACACGGUCCAAACCCCUAGGGGAGGCAGGAGUGAGGAAGAUUGGUCAAUGGGCGGAAGCCUGAACCAGCCAAGUAGCGUGCAGGAUGACGGCCCUAUGGGUUGUAAACUGCUUUUAUACAGGAAUAAAGUUAGCCACGUGUGGUUAUUUGUAGGUACUGUAUGAAUAAGGACCGGCUAAUUCCGUGCCAGCAGCCGCCGUAA
rnacentral:rRNA from 1 species